rnacentral:rRNA from 1 species
CCUACGGGGGGCAGCAGUGGGGAAUAUUGCGCAAUGGGCGAAAGCCUGACGCAGCGACGCCGCGUGAGGGAUGAAGGUCUUCGGAUCGUAAACCUCUGUCAGCAGGGAAGAACGGUCACUGUGCUAAUCAGCAGUGAAUUGACGGUACCUGCAAAGGAAGCACCGGCUAACUCCGUGCCAGCAGCCGCGGUAAUACGGAGGGUGCGAGCGUUAAUCGGAAUUACUGGGCGUAAAGCGCUCGUAGGCGGUAUGUCAAGUCAAGGGUGAAAUCCCCGCGCUCAACGUGGGAACUGCCUUUGAAACUGGCAAACUGGAGUGUGUGAGAGGAGAGUGGAAUUCCAGGUGUAGGAGUGAAAUCCGUAGAUAUCUGGAGGAACAUCAGUGGCGAAGGCGACUAUCUGGAACAUAACUGACGCUGAGGAGCGAAAGCGUGGGUAGCAAACAGGAUUAGAUACCCUGGUAGUC